rnacentral:rRNA from 1 species
GAUGAACGCUGGCGGCGUGCCUAAUACAUGCAAGUCGAGCGAACAGACGUGGAGCUUGCUCCUCUGACGUUAGCGGCGGACGGGUGAGUAACACGUGGAUAACCUACCUAUAAGACUGGGAUAACUUCGGGAAACCGGAGCUAAUACCGGAUAAUAUAUUGAACCGCAUGGUUCAAUAGUGAAAGACGGUUUUGCUGUCACUUAUGGAUGGAUCCGCGCCGCAUUAGCUAGUUGGUAAGGUAACGGCUUACCAAGGCAACGAUGCGUAGCCGACCUGAGAGGGUGAUCGGCCACACUGGAACUGAGACACGGUCCAGACUCCUACGGGAGGCAGCAGUAGGGAAUCUUCCGCAAUGGGCGAAAGCCUGACGGAGCAACGCCGCGUGAGUGAUGAAGGUCUUCGGAUCGUAAAACUCUGUUAUUAGGGAAGAACAAAUGUGUAAGUAACUAUGCACGUCUUGACGGUACCUAAUCAGAAAGCCACGGCUAACUACGUG